rnacentral:rRNA from 1 species
UACGUAGGGGGCUAGCGUUGUCCGGAAUCAUUGGGCGUAAAGCGCGUGUAGGCGGUCCGGUAAGUCCGCUGUGAAAUCCCCGGGCUCAACCCGGGAACUGCGUCCGAUACUGGCAGGCUUGAAUCCGGGAGAGGGAUGCGGAAUUCCAGGUGUAGCGGUGAAAUGCGUAGAUAUCUGGAGGAACACCGGUGGCGAAGGCGGCAUCCUGGACCGGCAUUGACGCUGAGGCGCGAAAGCCAGGGGAGCAAACGGG